UACGUAGGGUGCAAGCGUUGUCCGGAAUUAUUGGGCGUAAAGAGCUCGUAGGCGGUUUGUCGCGUCUGCUGUGAAAACUCGGGGCUUAACCCCGGGCCUGCAGUGGGUACGGGCAGACUAGAGUGCGGUAGGGGAGACUGGAAUUCCUGGUGUAGCGGUGAAAUGCGCAGAUAUCAGGAGGAACACCCGUGGCUAAGGCGGCUCUCUAGUACGGUACUGACGCUGAGACGCGAAAGCGUAGGGAGCGAACAGG
rnacentral:rRNA from 1 species